rnacentral:rRNA from 1 species
GAUGAACGCUGGCGGCGUGCCUAAUACAUGCAAGUCGAACGAGGUGCUUUUGUAGCAAUACGGAAGUAUCCUAGUGGCGAACGGGUGAGUAACGCGUUGGUGACCUGCCCCAAAGUGUGGGAUAACAGUUCGAAAGGAUUGCUAAUACCGCAUGUGGUCAUUGGGUUUAGAAACCGAUGACUAAAGCAGUAAUGCGCUUUGGGAGGGACCUGCGUCCCAUCAGCUAGUUGGUGAGGUAACGGCCCACCAAGGCGACGACGGGUAGGGGACCUGAGAGGAUGAUCAGCCACACUGGAACUGAGACACGGUCCAGACUCCUACGGGUGGCAG